CGGGGCGUUCCACAGUUGGUUAUAUGGGCUUGUUUUGGAGACAAGUGUUCGCAUGUUCGAAUCAUGUCACCCCGA
rnacentral:tRNA from 1 species